UCCCUCUAUACAUGUCCGCCACCCUACACACAAAGGGGGACAUUUGGACAUUUAAUUCCUUGCUCCAUGAUUCGGUCAGGCUUCAAGCUGUUUAGCUUGCAUGUUCUCUUCAUUCUCUCCUCCAAUCCGUGAGGCUACAUAGGGAGACAACCAAACUUCUAAAAUGUUGUUCUCAUUCUUUUUUCUCGCUCGACCGCGUGACAACAAGCAGGGAGAUGCGGACCAUAAGUUUCCAUUCCUUACUCUCCUUCACCGUUCAACCGUAGAUCAACCUUAGAGAGGUAAGGUAUUUUGGUGAUACUCAUUGGCCAUUCUUGCUCUUUUUCUCCUUGGACCGGUUUCUGAUUAGGCUCUCCAUUUUCUUGUACAUGGCACUGCCUUGAGUGAGUCGCUCUACCUCUUGCAUGCGGUUGGUUGUGAUUGGAGAGUGAGGUUGAGGUACUCCGUCCGUGUAACUAAUUAUUGGAGACUUGAAAGAAGGUGUGCUAAACUCUAAUUGUGAGGGCUGAUUGGUGAUGUUUGAAAAGAGAAUGUUAAAGACUUGAGGUUCAGGCAAUUUGGGGGCUGAUGUCUCUGGCGGCGAGAGGCCAGAGCUUAGUUGAGGAUUAUUACUGUUUAUAUGCUGGCAUGACUGGAUUUGGAUGCUGUUUAUGUUUUCCGCUAUUUAUGAUUAUGUUGUUGUUGAGACUGAUGUUGGGCUUGUUGCCUUAUUUGAGUGAGCAUGGGGAUUGUCCAUGACACUUUCUGUUAGUACUUUUAGAUUGGAGUUGUAUA